rnacentral:rRNA from 1 species
GACGAACGCUGGCGGCGUGCUUAACACAUGCAAGUCGAACGGAAAGGCCCUGCUUUUGUGGUGUGCUCGAGUGGCGAACGGGUGAGUAACACGUGUGUAACCUGCCCUUGACUUUGGUAUAACUUCAAGAAACUGGGGCUAAUACCGGAUAGGAUCUCCUGCUGCAGGGUGGGGGUUGGAAAGUUUCGGCGGUUGGGGAUUGACUCGGGGCUUAUCAGCUUGUUGGUGGGGUAGUGGCUUACCAAGGCUUUGGCGGGUAGCCGGCCUGGGAGGGUGGCCGGCCCCAUUGGGACUGAGAUACGGCCCAGACUCCUACGGGAGGCAGCAGUGGGGAAUAUUGCACAAUGGGCCGAAGCCUGAUGCAACAACGCCGCGUGCGGGAUGACGGCCUUCGGGUUGUAAACCGCUUUCGCCUGUGACGAAGCGUGAGUGACGGUAAUGGGUAAAGAAGCACCGGCUAACUACGUG